UACGAAGGGGGCUAGCGUUGCUCGGAAUUACUGGGCGUAAAGCGUGCGCAGGCGGUUUUGUAAGCCAGAUGUGAAAUCCCCGGGCUCAACCUGGGAAUUGCGAUGGAGACUGCAAGGCUAGAAUCUGGCAGAGGGGGGUAGAAUUCCACGUGUAGCAGUGAAAUGCGUAGAGAUGUGGAGGAACACCGAUGGCGAAGGCAGCCCCCUGGGUCAAGAUUGACGCUCAUGCACGAAAGCGUGGGGAGCAACAGG
rnacentral:rRNA from 1 species